AACAACCAAGAGGGGACCUAAAUGUGCAAUAAUUCGCAAAUCAUUCAAGAAAUUUAUAUACGCACUAAACAAACUAAGUGUGACGGACUCUGACCGAAAAGAUUACCGAUAAAGACAACCGAUGGAUCCCAAAUCUCCCAUGGGAAACUAUUGAUCCAACCAACUCGCAAGUGACCUACUCAUUGUAUAGAAACGAAAUGAAAU
rnacentral:lncRNA from 1 species